GACGAACGCUGGCGGCGUGCUUAACACAUGCAAGUCGAACGGAAAGGCCCUGCUUUUGUGGGGUGCUCGAGUGGCGAACGGGUGAGUAACACGUGUGUAACCUGCCCUUGACUUUGGGAUAACUUCAGGAAACUGGGGCUAAUACCGGAUAGGAGCUCCUGCUGCAUGGGGGGGGUUGGAAAGUUUCGGCGGUGUGGGCUGGACUAGCGGCUUAUCAGCUGGUUGGUGGGGUAGUGGCGUACCAAGGCUUUGACGGGUAGGCGGCCUGAGAGGGUGACCGGCCACAUUGGUCCUGAGAUACGGCCCAGACUCCUACGGGAGGCAGCAGUGGGGAAUAUUGCACAGUGGGCGGAAGCCUGAUGCAGCAACGCCGCGUGCGGGAUGACGGCCUUCGGGUUGUAAACCGCUUUCGCCUGUGACGAAGCGUGAGUGACGGUAAUGGGUAAAGAAGCACCGGCUAACUACGUG
rnacentral:rRNA from 1 species